AAGUCGUAACAAGGUUUCCGUAGGUGAACCUGCGGAAGGAUCAUUACGUUCAGUAGCCUAGCUACUGUCAGUGGGGCUCGUUAGUCUGCAUAGCUUAAACGCUGAUGAGCAGCAGGCCCCCUGUCUUCACCCUUGUUUUUUGCGUACCCAUGUUUCCUCGGUGGGCUUGCCCGCCGGCUGGACAAAACUAUAACCUAUUUAAUUUUCAAUCAGCGUCUGAAAUAAUUUUAAUAAUUACAACUUUCAACAACGGAUCUCUUGGUUCUGGCAUCGAUGAAGAACGCAGCGAAAUGCGAUAAGUAGUGUGAAUUGCAGAAUUCAGUGAAUCAUCGAAUCUUUGAACGCACAUUGCGCCCCUUGGUAUUCCAUGGGGCAUGCCUGUUCGAGCGUCAUUUGUACCCUCAAGCUUUGCUUGGUGUUGGGUGUUUGUCUCUUUCCCUUGCGGGGAGACUCGCCUUAAAGUAAUUGGCAGCCAGUGUUUUGGUAGUAAGCGCAGCACAUUUUGCGUCUUGGUCCCUAAAAUAAUGGCAACCAUAAGCUCUUUUUCACGUUUGACCUCGGAUCAGGUAGGGAUACCCGCUGAACUUAAGCAUAUCAAUAAGCGGAGGAAAAGAAACCAACAGGGAUUGCCCUAGUAACGGCGAGUGAAGCGGCAACAGCUCAAAUUUGAAAUCUGGCUCUUUCAGGGUCCGAGUUGUAAUUUGCAGAGGGCGCUUUGGCGUUGGCAGCGGUCCAAGUUCUUUGGAACAGGACGUCACAGAGGGUGAGAAUCCCGUACGUGGUCGCUAGCCUUCGCCGUGUAAAGCCCCUUCGACGAGUCGAGUUGUUUGGGAAUGCAGCUCUAAAUGGGAGGUAAAUUUCUUCUAAAGCUAAAUACUGGCCAGAGACCGAUAGCGCACAAGUAGAGUGAUCGAAAGAUGAAAAGCACUUUGGAAAGAGAGUCAAAUAGCACGUGAAAUUGUUGAAAGGGAAGCGCUUGCAGCCAGACUUGCCUGUAGUUGCUUAUCCAAACUUUUGUUUGGUGCACUCUUCUGCGGGCAGGCCAGCAUCAGUUUGGGCGGUUGGAUAAAGGUCUCUGUCAUGUACCUCCUUUCGGGGAGGCCUUAUAGGGGAGACGACAUGCAACCAGCCCGGACUGAGGUCCGCGCAUCUGCUAGGAUGCUGGCGUAAUGGCUGUAAGCGGCC
rnacentral:rRNA from 1 species